rnacentral:rRNA from 1 species
UACAGAGGUCUCAAGCGUUGUUCGGAUUCAUUGGGCGUAAAGAGCGUGUAGGCGGCCAGGUAGGUCUGCUGUGAAAACUCGAGGCUCAACCUCGAGACGCCGAUGGAAACCAUUUGGCUAGAGUCCGGAAGAGGAGAGUGGAACUGCGAGUGUAGAGGUGAAAUUCGUAGAUAUUCGCAAGAACACCAGUGGCGAAGGCGGCUCACUGGCCCGGUACUGACGCUGAGGUGCGAAAGCGUGGGGAGCAAACAGG